AUUAUUAAGAGUGGCAGAUUAAUUUAGAUGAUUUUAUUUCAGAUGUUUGUGUGACGAUGUUGUUUCAGAUCCUCCUUUGAGCAGCUGCAGUAUCAGUUCAGUCACUGUGACUCUGACUGACGGAGGUUUUUGUACGACUCUUUAUCACUGUGUGAACACAUAUUUACUGUUGAUGUAGUGGUAACUCUGACAGUAAUAAUGUCCAGCAUCUUCAGUCUGGACUCCACUGAUGGUCAGAGUGAAAUCACUGUUAGAUCCACUGCCACUGAAUCUAGAUGGAGUUCCUGACUGGAGGGUGUUU